rnacentral:rRNA from 1 species
UGCAAGUCGAACGGUAACAGGAAGAAGCUUGCUUCUUCGCUGACGAGUGGCAAACGGGCGAGUAACACGUAUUCAACUAUCCCUGGAGAGGGGGACAACUGCCGAAAGGCAGCUAAUCCCGCAUACGCUGUAUGCUAUGAAAAAGCAUACGGGAAAACUACGGUGCUCUAGGAGAGGGGUGCGCUUCAACAGCUAGUUGGUGUGGUAACGGCACACCAAGGCUAUGACGAAUAGCCGGCCUGAGAGGGCGACCGGCCGCAACGGGACUGAGACACGGCCCGUACUCCUACGGGAGGCAGCAGUGAGGAAUCUUGGACAAUGGGCGAAAGCCUGAUCCAGCUAUCCUGCGUGAAGGAUGACGCUUUACGGAGUGUAAACUUCUUUUCUGGUGGAAGACGAAUGACGGUACAUCAGGAAUAAGGGGCGGCUAACUACGUGCCAGCAGCCGCGGUAAUACGUAGGCCCCGAGCAUUACCCGGAGUUACUGGGCGUAAAGUGUCCCUAGCCGGGCUUAUAAGUCUGUCUUUAAAUACCAAAGCUUAACUUUGGACCGGGGGCAGAUACUGUAAGCCUAGAGUUACUGGGGGGUUAGUAGAAUUUCCGGUGGAGUGGUGAAAUAUGUUGAUAUCGGAAGGAAUGCCAAAAGUGAAGACAGCUAACUAACAGUAAACUGACGGUGAAGGACGAAAGCUUAGGUAGCAAACAGGAUUAGAUACCCUGGUAGUCUAAGCUGUAAAUGAUGUAUGCUAAAUGUUGGUCACUUCGGUGAUCAGUAUUGCACCUAACGGGUUAAGCAUAUCGCCUGGGGAGUAUAGCCGCAAGGCCGAAACUCAAAAGGAUAGGCGGGGGAACACACAAGCAGUGGAUUGUCUCGAUUAAUUGGAUAAUAAGCCGAGAAUCUUACCCGGACUUGACAUCCUGCGAAUUCUUUGGAAACAGAGAAGUGCUUGGCUUGCCAAGAGCGCAGAGACAGGUGCUGCACGGCCGUCGUCAGCUCGUGCCGCAAGGUGUCUGGUUAAUUCCAGUAACGAGCGCAACCCUUGCAUCUAGUUAGAAAUGUCUAGAUGGACUGCCUGGGUAACCAGGAGGAAGGGAGGACGAUGUCAGGUCAUCAUGGCCCUUAUGUCCGGGGCUUCAGAGGCGAUACAAUGGGAUAGUACAAAGGGAAGCGAAGCCGCGAGGUGAAGCAAAACCUCAAAACUACUCUAAGUACGGACUGUAGUCUGGAACCGACUACAUGAAGUUGGAAUCGCUAGUAAUCCUAGGUCAGCAACACUAGGGUGAAUAUGUCCCUGUUCCUUGCACUCACCGCCCGUCACACCAUGGGAGUUGGAUUACUCUGAAGAUUCUUAAUAGGGAUUAAGGAGAAAUUCGAUGACUGGGGUGAAGUCGGAACAAGGUA